UAGUGCUGCAAUGUAAACAUUGCAGGUUCUAUGGAACUGCAAUGUUUUACAUUGUAGCACUA
rnacentral:miRNA from 1 species